rnacentral:misc_RNA from 1 species
GAUGAAGAACGUAGUGAAAUGCGAUAAGUAAUGUGAAUUGCAGAAUUCAGUGAAUCAUCGAAUCUUUGAACGCACAUUGCGCCCGCCAGUAUUCUGGCGGGCAUGCCUGUCCGAGCGUCAUUUCAACCCUCGAACCCCUCCGGGGGGUCGGCGUUGGGGAUCGGCCCUUUACCGGCCGGCCCCGAAAUACAGUGGCGGUCUCGCCGCAGCCUCUCCUGCGCAGUAGUUUGCACACUCGCACCGGGAGCGCGGCGCAGUCCAAUGCCGUAAAACACCCAACUUUCUGAAAUGUUGACCUCGGAUCAGGUAGGAAUACCCGCUGAACUUAAGCAUAUCAAUAAGCGGAGGA